UCCUAGCUAUCAGGUACAUAAUGUCCUAGCUAUCAGGUACAUAAUGUCCUAGCUAUGUACAUGACCUACAUAAUGUCCUAGCUAUCAGGUACAUAAUGUCCUAGCUAUGUACAUGACCUACAUAGUGUCUUAGCUAUGUACAUGAGGUACAUAAUGUCCUAGCUAUGUACAUGACCUACAUAAUGUCCUAGCUAUGUACAUGACCUACAUAAUGUCCUAGCUAUGUACAUGACCUACAUAUUGUCCUAGCUAUGUACAUGACCUACAUAAUGUCCUAGCUUUCAGGUACAUAA